UGAUAUGACUGAUAUGUGCAUCCUCCAGUUCCCAACAGAAAAUAAAUAGACCCUGAUCUCAGAAGCUAAGCAGGGUCAGCCCUGGUUAGUAGGAUGGGAGACCAAAUGGGAAAACCAAGUGCUGUAUUAA
ensembl:rRNA 5S_rRNA 5S ribosomal RNA